UACGAAGGGGGCUAGCGUUGUUCGGAUUAACUGGGCGUAAAGGGUGCGUAGGCGGGGUUUUAAGUCAGGGGUGAAAUGCCGAGGCUCAACUUCGGAACUGCCUUUGAUACUGGAACUCUUGAGUCUGGGAGAGGUGAGUGGAACUCCGAGUGUAGAGGUGAAAUUCGUAGAUAUUCGGAAGAACACCAGUGGCGAAGGCGGCUCACUGGCCCGGUACUGACGCUGAGGUGCGAAAGCGUGGGGAGCAAACAGG
rnacentral:rRNA from 1 species